UACGGGGGGGGCAAGCGUUGUUCGGAAUUACUGGGCGUAAAGGGCUCGUAGGUGGCCAACUAAGUCAGACGUGAAAUCCCUCAGCUUAACUGGGGAACUGCGUCUGAUACUGGAUGGCUUGAGUUUGGGAGAGGGAUGCGGAAUUCCAGGUGUAGCGGUGAAAUGCGUAGAUAUCUGGAGGAACACCGGUGGCGAAGGCGGCAUCCUGGACCGGCAUUGACGCUGAGGCGCGAAAGCCAGGGGAGCAAAGCGGG
rnacentral:rRNA from 1 species